UUUUUAUAUCUUUUAGAUUAAAUAUUUAUGUCUUUUUAAAAUUUGAUUAAAAUGUUUUGACUAAUAAACAUCUUUCGCAUUUUCAGUUAAUUUAAAUUACAACUCAUUUGUAUUUUUUUUAAAUAAAAUGUUAAGUAUUAAUUUCUGAAUUUAUCCUCUAAGUUGUUGGAUGUGUUUUUUUUCUUAUUUAGUGGGAUAUUGGUUAUUAACUCUAUUAUCUCUUUUUUCAAUUAUAUUCUUUCGAUCAAAAUAAAUUGUCAUGUCCUACAAACAUUAAAUAUUCUAUCUUUUUCCAAAUGGGUUGUUUUUAUGGAUUUUUUUCCAAAUCGUUGGUGAUCCACAUUAAUUUUUGGAAGUUUUAACGAAAAGCCCACGGUACUGUUAAUUUUAAUGAAAAACCAAAUUUUUACACUAAAAAGUCAAACCUGGUACUAUUCAUUUUACCUUUUAUUUUGUCCUUAUCGUUAAAACUCAAAGUUUUCAAUCCCCUUUCAUUAGUUUUCCUUUAAUUUUUUCAUAUUUUUUAUUAGUGACUAUUUUCUUUGCAUUUUUUUUUUACUUAUAGUUGUUGACAAACUAUUAUCAGGUACAACAUAUUAUGUGUAUAUUGUCGUUGGGUACGUUUGAAUUUGUAAAAAACGUUGAUUGGUACGUUUAUUUGCGGUUUUGGUACGUUCGAUUUAGUAUAUAUUGUUGAUAUUGGUACAUUAUUUUCAGUUUUGGUACGUUCGAUUUUGUACACAUUAUUUACUGGUACGUUUAUAUUGUUGUUAGUCCUAUUUUUGGUACGUUUGAUUUCGUUGGAUUUAAAAAUAUUUUAAAUCGUUUUAAAAAAUUAAAUAUAUAUUAAAUCGUAGAUAAUCAUUGCUAACUUGUAGGAAGUAUUGUGAAAAUAAAUUGUAUUUAACUACUUAUUUUUUUUUACAAUUAUCUCCAAAGAGGGAGAGGGUAAUCAAAAUGCU
rnacentral:lncRNA from 1 species